UCGAAACCUGCACAGCAGAACGACCCGCGAACUCGUUUACCAACCCCCCGAGGGGCAGGGCAUGCCCUGGGCCCUCGGAGCCGGAGGGCGCCGCCGCCUCUCCCCGUCAAAGGGGAUGGGCUACGGCGCACGAAGGCAAGUACCCAAACACCGGCGCGGGUUGCGCCAAGGACCAUGAAUUCCAUCGCUUCCCGCAGCCCCGGGCGACCGGGUGCCGCGGCGAAGGCGUGUCGAAAAAUUGAACACAACGACUCUCGGCAACGGAUAUCUCGGCUCUCGCAUCGAUGAAGAACGUAGCGAAAUGCGAUACUUGGUGUGAAUUGCAGAAUCCCGUGAACCAUCGAGUCUUUGAACGCAAGUUGCGCCCGAAGCCAUCCGGCCGAGGGCACGUCUGCCUGGGCGUCACGCAUCGCGUCGCCCCCUCCCCCUCCGCGGAGCGGAGAGAGGGGCGGAGUUUGGCCCCCCGUGCGCCCCCCGCGCGCGGCCGGCCUAAACACGGAGCCCGUGGCCGCGAGCGCCGCGACGUUUGGUGGUUGAUUCUUAAGCAUCGCGUCGCGCGCCGUAGCGUACUCGGAGCGCUCGAAGGACCCUUAGGCGCAGCAGCCUACCCUUGCGACCCC
rnacentral:rRNA from 1 species